GACGAACGCUGGCGGCGUGCUUAACACAUGCAAGUCGAACGGAAAGGCCCUGCUUGCAGGGUACUCGAGUGGCGAACGGGUGAGUAACACGUGGGUGAUCUGCCCUGCACUUCGGGAUAAGCCUGGGAAACUGGGUCUAAUACCGGAUAGGAGCCAUUUUUAGUGUGAUGGUUGGAAAGUUUUUUCGAUGUAGGAUGAGCUCGCGGCCUAUCAGCUUGUUGGUGGGGUAAUGGCCUACCAAGGCGGCGACGGGUAGCCGGCCUGAGAGGGUGGACGGCCACAUUGGGACUGAGAUACGGCCCAGACUCCUACGGGAGGCAGCAGUGGGGAAUAUUGCACAAUGGGCGCAAGCCUGAUGCAGCGACGCCGCGUGGGGGAUGACGGCCUUCGGGUUGUAAACUCCUUUCGCUAGGGACGAAGCUUUUUGUGACGGUACCUAGAUAAGAAGCACCGGCUAACUACGUG
rnacentral:rRNA from 1 species